rnacentral:rRNA from 1 species
CGUUGGCGGCAGGCUUACACAUGCAAGUCGAGCGGUAGCACAGGGGAGCUUGCUCCCCGGGUGACGAGCGGCGGACGGGUGAGUAAUGUCUGGGAAACUGCCUGAUGGAGGGGGAUAACUACUGGAAACGGUAGCUAAUACCGCAUAACGUCGCAAGACCAAAGAGGGGGACCUUCGGGCCUCUUGCCAUCAGAUGUGCCCAGAUGGGAUUAGCUAGUAGGUGGGGUAAUGGCUCACCUAGGCGACGAUCCCUAGCUGGUCUGAGAGGAUGACCAGCCACACUGGAACUGAGACACGGUCCAGACUCCUACGGGAGGCAGCAGUGGGGAAUAUUGCACAAUGGGCGCAAGCCUGAUGCAGCCAUGCCGCGUGUGUGAAGAAGGCCUUCGGGUUGUAAAGCACUUUCAGCGAGGAGGAAGGUGGUGAGCUUAAUACGCUCAUCAAUUGACGUUACUCGCAGAAGAAGCACCGGCUAACUCCGUGCCAGCAGCCGCGGUAAUACGGAGGGUGCAAGCGUUAAUCGGAAUUACUGGGCGUAAAGCGCACGCAGGCGGUUUGUUAAGUCAGAUGUGAAAUCCCCGGGCUCAACCUGGGAACUGCAUUUGAAACUGGCAAGCUAGAGUCUCGUAGAGGGGGGUAGAAUUCCAGGUGUAGCGGUGAAAUGCGUAGAGAUCUGGAGGAAUACCGGUGGCGAAGGCGGCCCCCUGGACGAAGACUGACGCUCAGGUGCGAAAGCGUGGGGAGCAAACAGGAUUAGAUACCCUGGUAGUCCACGCUGUAAACGAUGUCGAUUUGGAGGUUGUGCCCUUGAGGCGUGGCUUCCGGAGCUAACGCGUUAAAUCGACCGCCUGGGGAGUACGGCCGCAAGGUUAAAACUCAAAUGAAUUGACGGGGGCCCGCACAAGCGGUGGAGCAUGUGGUUUAAUUCGAUGCAACGCGAAGAACCUUACCUACUCUUGACAUCCAGAGAACUUAGCAGAGAUGCUUUGGUGCCUUCGGGAACUCUGAGACAGGUGCUGCAUGGCUGUCGUCAGCUCGUGUUGUGAAUGUUGGGUUAAGUCCCGCACGAGCGCAACCCUUAUCCUUUGUUGCAGCGGACGGCCGGGACCUCAAGGGAGACUGCAGUGAUAAACUGGAGGAGGGUGGGGAAUGACGUCAGUCAUCAUGUCCUUUACGAGUUAGGCUUACCACCGUGCUACAUUGGCGUAUACUAAGGAGAAGCCGAACCCUCCGCGAGAGACA